GUCCUUGCUGCAUUACAACAGAGAGCAGGUGGAGAUGCUGUUCUUACUGAAUAUGGCUCAAAUAAUACACUGUCAAGUGAGACUAGGCGAGUUCUGGUUAACAUAGUGGUUGGACAUAUGAUGGAGAUGCAUGGGAGGAUUCCCACACGAAGCCAAAAAGAGCAAUAUGCUCUUGGUAUUGUUACACUUUUUCCAUCACUUCGUGAUCCUUUCUCAAAGAAAGGCUAUGAGCCUUUCUAUGACGCUGACAGUGGAACUGGCUAUCUUGCAUGGCGUCUGAAGACCGUGCAAAGAAACAUUUCUCAUCAUCCUCUCAAGAGGCAUGAUACCGACUCUGGCUUAGGAGGUCCAUCGUUGAAGAGAUCUUCUUCUUGUUCUAGAAAAGCUGAACUUGCUAGAACAACUUGACCUGGUCAUGUUGACAUUUGUUUAUUGGGACAGUGACAUGGCCACUCUGUUUUUGCUUACGCAUCUGCUUCCACCUCCACCUGGAGGAAAGAGGGCUGUGAAAAUUAGUGCUGCAGAUGCUGCGGACAGACUUGUGGUGCAUCAUAAGUCUUGCAACAGCAUUGAAGAAAAUCUUCCACAGAAAGAAGAACGACAGCCGUACCUUCUUGCUGUAGGACAAAGCCGAGGCCAGAUAGACAGUUACUACAUAGUCCUUGACAAGAAACUCAUCCCAUGUCAAGCGGUUGGUUCCCUCAGUGUAUUUGAUGAGCUUUUUAAAGCUCAUUUUGUUUUUAAUUCGACAUAUGAUGGUGCACUCUGUAACUUCUACACAUUUAUUCAAACAACUGUCUACCAGAUUGAUGUUGGAAAAACGAGAGAGUCCCCAAGAGUAAAGGAACUACGUGCAAAGCUGCUGAACAUCUAGAGGAAACUAGAAUUUCAGAAUGUUUUCUUGUUUUAGAUGCAGUGCAUUGUAUGCAACUAGUCAAUUACUCAUUUAAGAUUAGGCCAUGGUCAAACUCAAAAUUUAAAUUGAUAUGUGCACAAGAAACAUGUAGAAGACAGUUUUCCACGUACUCUGGGUUUAGAAAACAUUUAGAUUCCAUUCAUUAGUUCCACAGUGAUACUGACAGUACUUCCUCUUUGAGGUGUGGUUUAUUGGCUCCUCCUUCAGAAAUUGUACCAUCCUCUUCGGCUCCAAAUUCAUGUGCACAGUCUCAGGCAGCAACAGGGGAUUUUGAGGAAACAUUUUGAGUGUGGGAUUUCUCCAGAAUACAUGAAAAACAUGUGUGCAUCUGUUGUUGCAAAACUGCAAGAAAGUGGUGCUGCCACUAGUGUUGUCUCUUCUAUUGUUUGUGAUCUGGAAGAAUGUACAAAGGAGAUGCACUCUCAUAUUAAGCAUAAACUACUCUCUGCAGUUCCUGAAUCAGAUCCUGUAAGGACAGCUGUAGAACAAAAUUUGGAAGAUUUUGAAAACCCCUUUGCUUGUUUUAAUUCUGAUGCUAAAAGGGAGAAGUACUUCACUGAAAAAUGGGGUAUUGUUGAGCCAAUGGAAAUUGUAUUGGGUGUCAGAUAGGCCUGGACAAUAAUUCGAUAUCGGUAUUUAUCGCGAUAAGAAAUGUUUCAAUAACGGUGAUAUCAUUUUUGUUGUAUAUCGAUAUGUAUUAUUUACAGAAUCUGUCACGGACAGGCGUUUUACUGGCGUCAGCUCCCCGCACAGCUGAACACAAUCAGCCUCCGUAGCUGGACUAUCUCUGUGCGUGAUGAUGUAAUCAUCACCAGAUAGG